rnacentral:hammerhead_ribozyme from 1 species
UUCCAGCUGAUGAGUCCCAAAUAGGACGAAUCGCGCUUUAUCUUGGAU